CUGGCGGCGUGCUUAACACAUGCAAGUCGAGCGAUGAAGCUCCUUCGGGAGUGGAUUAGCGGCGGACGGGUGAGUAACACGUGGGUAACCUGCCUCAUAGAGGGGAAUAGCCUUUCGAAAGGAAGAUUAAUACCGCAUAAGAUUGUAGUACCGCAUGGUACAGCAAUUAAAGGAGUAAUCCGCUAUGAGAUGGACCCGCGUCGCAUUAGCUAGUUGGUGAGGUAACGGCUCACCAAGGCGACGAUGCGUAGCCGACCUGAGAGGGUGAUCGGCCACAUUGGGACUGAGACACGGCCCAGACUCCUACGGGAGGCAGCAGUGGGGAAUAUUGCACAAUGGGGGAAACCCUGUAAUGCAGCAACGCCGCGUGAGUGAUGACGGCCUUCGGGUUGUAAAACUCUGUCUUUGGGGACGAUAAUGACGGUACCCAAGGAGGAAGCCACGGCUAACUACGUGCCAGCCGCGGC
rnacentral:rRNA from 1 species